ensembl:snRNA U6 U6 spliceosomal RNA
CGUUGCCUAAUGCUCACCGACUGCUUAAAAUUGGAAAGAAACAAAGAUUAGCAUGGCCUCUGCACAAGGAUGACAUAUAAAUUUACAAAACAUUUAUAUAUAUAU